rnacentral:rRNA from 1 species
GGGUUGUGAGGUUAAGCGACUAAGCGUACACGGUGGAUGCCCUGGCAGUCAGAGGCGAUGAAGGACGUGCUAAUCUGCGAAAAGCGUCGGUAAGGUGAUAUGAACCGUUAUAACCGGCGAUGUCCGAAUGGGGAAACCCAGUGCAAUUCGUUGCACUAUCGUUAACUGAAUACAUAGGUUAACGAGGCGAACCGGGGGAACUGAAACAUCUAAGUACCCCGAGGAAAAGAAAUCAACCGAGAUUCCCCCAGUAGCGGCGAGCGAACGGGGAGCAGCCCAGAGUCUGAAUCAGCUUGUGUGUUAGUGGAACGGUCUGGAAAGUCCGACGGUACAGGGUGAUAGUCCCGUACACCAAAAUGCACAGGUUGUGAACUCGAAGAGUAGGGCGGGACACGUGGUAUCCUGUCUGAAUAUGGGGGGACCAUCCUCCAAGGCUAAAUACUCCUGACUGACCGAUAGUGAACCAGUACCGUGAGGGAAAGGCGAAAAGAACCCCGGCGAGGGGAGUGAAAAAGAACCUGAAACCGUGUACGUACAAGCAGUGGGAGCACCUUCGGGUGUGACUGCGUACCUUUUGUAUAAUGGGUCAGCGACUUAUAUUCUGUAGCAAGGUUAACCGUAUAGGGGAGCCGCAGGGAAACCGAGUCUUAACUGGGCGUUAAGUUGCAGGGUAUAGACCCGAAACCCGGUGAUCUAGCCAUGGGCAGGUUGAAGGUUGGGUAACACUAACUGGAGGACCGAACCGACUAAUGUUGAAAAAUUAGCGGAUGACUUGUGGCUGGGGGUGAAAGGCCAAUCAAACCGGGAGAUAGCUGGUUCUCCCCGAAAGCUAUUUAGGUAGCGCCUCGUGAACUCAUCUUCGGGGGUAGAGCACUGUUUCGGCUAGGGGGUCAUCCCGACUUACCAACCCGAUGCAAACUACGAAUACCGAAGAAUGUUAUCACGGGAGACACACGGCGGGUGCUAACGUCCGUCGUGAAGAGGGAAACAACCCAGACCGCCAGCUAAGGUCCCAAAGUCAUGGUUAAGUGGGAAACGAUGUGGGAAGGCACAGACAGCCAGGAUGUUGGCUUAGAAGCAGCCAUCAUUUAAAGAAAGCGUAAUAGCUCACUGGUCGAGUCGGCCUGCGCGGAAGAUGUAACGGGGCUAAACCAUGCACCGAAGCUGCGGCAGCGAC